GGGGAACUGAAACAUCUAAGUACCCCGAGGAAAAGAAAUCAACCGAGAUUCCCCCAGUAGCGGCGAGCGAACGGGGAGGAGCCCAGAGCCUGAAUCAGUGUGUGUGUUAGUGGAAGCGUCUGGAAAGGCGCGCGAUACAGGGUGACAGCCCCGUACACAAAAAUGCACAUACUGUGAGCUCGAUGAGUAGGGCGGGACACGUGGUAUCCUGUCUGAAUAUGGGGGGACCAUCCUCCAAGGCUAAAUACUCCUGACUGACCGAUAGUGAACCAGUACCGUGAGGGAAAGGCGAAAAGAACCCCGGCGAGGGGAGUGAAAAAGAACCUGAAACCGUGUACGUACAAGCAGUGGGAGCCUCUUAAUGGGGUGACUGCGUACCUUUUGUAUAAUGGGUCAGCGACUUAUAUUCUGUAGCAAGGUUAACCGAAUAGGGGAGCCGAAGGGAAACCGAGUCUUAACUGGGCGUUAAGUUGCAGGGUAUAGACCCGAAACCCGGUGAUCUAGCCAUGGGCAGGUUGAAGGUUGGGUAACACUAACUGGAGGACCGAACCGACUAAUGUUGAAAAAUUAGCGGAUGACUUGUGGCUGGGGGUGAAAGGCCAAUCAAACCGGGAGAUAGCUGGUUCUCCCCGAAAGCUAUUUAGGUAGCGCCUCGUGAAUUCAUCUCCGGGGGUAGAGCACUGUUUCGGCAAGGGGGUCAUCCCGACUUACCAACCCGAUGCAAACUGCGAAUACCGGAGAAUGUUAUCACGGGAGACACACGGCGGGUGCUAACGUCCGUCGUGAAGAGGGAAACAACCCAGACCGCCAGCUAAGGUCCCAAAGUCAUGGUUAAGUGGGAAACGAUGUGGGAAGGCCCAGACAGCCAGGAUGUUGGCUUAGAAGCAGCCAUCAUUUAAAGAAAGCGUAAUAGCUCACUGGUCGAGUCGGCCUGCGCGGAAGAUGUAACGGGGCUAAACCAUGCACCGAAGCUGCGGCAGCGACACUAUGUGUUGUUGGGUAGGGGAGCGUUCUGUAAGCCUGUGAAGGUGGCCUGUGAGGGUUGCUGGAGGUAUCAGAAGUGCGAAUGCUGACAUAAGUAACGAUAAAGCGGGUGAAAAGCCCGCUCGCCGGAAGACCAAGGGUUCCUGUCCAACGUUAAUCGGGGCAGGGUGAGUCGACCCCUAAGGCGAGGCCGAAAGGCGUAGUCGAUGGGAAACAGGUUAAUAUUCCUGUACUUGGUGUUACUGCGAAGGGGGGACGGAGAAGGCUAUGUUGGCCGGGCGACGGUUGUCCCGGUUUAAGCGUGUAGGCUGGUUUUCCAGGCAAAUCCGGAAAAUCAAGGCUGAGGCGUGAUGACGAGGCACUACGGUGCUGAAGCGACAAAUGCCCUGCUUCCAGGAAAAGCCUCUAAGCAUCAGGUAACAUCAAAUCGUACCCCAAACCGACACAGGUGGUCAGGUAGAGAAUACCAAGGCGCUUGAGAGAACUCGGGUGAAGGAACUAGGCAAAAUGGUGCCGUAACUUCGGGAGAAGGCACGCUGAUAUGUAGGUGAAGCGACUUGCUCGUGGAGCUGAAAUCAGUCGAAGAUACCAGCUGGCUGCAACUGUUUAUUAAAAACACAGCACUGUGCAAACACGAAAGUGGACGUAUACGGUGUGACGCCUGCCCGGUGCCGGAAGGUUAAUUGAUGGGGUUAGCGGUAACGCGAAGCUCUUGAUCGAAGCCCCGGUAAACGGCGGCCGUAACUAUAACGGUCCUAAGGUAGCGAAAUUCCUUGUCGGGUAAGUUCCGACCUGCACGAAUGGCGUAAUGAUGGCCAGGCUGUCUCCACCCGAGACUCAGUGAAAUUGAACUCGCUGUGAAGAUGCAGUGUACCCGCGGCAAGACGGAAAGACCCCGUGAACCUUUACUAUAGCUUGACACUGAACAUUGAGCCUUGAUGUGUAGGAUAGGUGGGAGGCUUUGAAGUGUGGACGCCAGUCUGCAUGGAGCCGACCUUGAAAUACCACCCUUUAAUGUUUGAUGUUCUAACGUGGGCCCCUUACCGGGGUUGCGGACAGUGUCUGGUGGGUAGUUUGACUGGGGCGGUCUCCUCCUAAAGAGUAACGGAGGAGCACGAAGGUUGGCUAAUCCUGGUCGGACAUCAGGAGGUUAGUGCAAUGGCAUAAGCCAGCUUGACUGCGAGCGUGACGGCGCGAGCAGGUGCGAAAGCAGGUCAUAGUGAUCCGGUGGUUCUGAAUGGAAGGGCCAUCGCUCAACGGAUAAAAGGUACUCCGGGGAUAACAGGCUGAUACCGCCCAAGAGUUCAUAUCGACGGCGGUGUUUGGCACCUCGAUGUCGGCUCAUCACAUCCUGGGGCUGAAGUAGGUCCCAAGGGUAUGGCUGUUCGCCAUUUAAAGUGGUACGCGAGCUGGGUUUAGAACGUCGUGAGACAGUUCGGUCCCUAUCUGCCGUGGGCGCUGGAGAACUGAGGGGGGCUGCUCCUAGUACGAGAGGACCGGAGUGGACGCAUCACUGGUGUUCGGGUUGUCAUGCCAAUGGCACUGCCCGGUAGCUAAAUGCGGAAGAGAUAAGUGCUGAAAGCAUCUAAGCACGAAACUUGCCCCGAGAUGAGUUCUCCCUGACUCCUUGAGAGUCCUGAAGGAACGUUGAAGACGACGACGUUGAUAGGCCGGGUGUGUAAGCGCAGCGAUGCGUUGAGCUAACCGGUACUAAUGAACCGUGAGGCUUAACCUU
rnacentral:rRNA from 1 species